rnacentral:lncRNA from 1 species
GUCACCAGAGCUCAUAAAAGAUGUGUGUGCUGUCGCAUCUAUGUGAAGUAUUUCCAUGACCCGAGCAUUGACCACAGGACUGUGCUGGAGGAAACUGGAUCAAGGUACCAAGACAGAUACAGGAGGGUCUCCAGAAACCCUAGAGCUGAAUGGAACCCGUCUGGAAAACAUACACUGGAAACUAGGCCGAGGAUUAUCCAAAGGGUGGUUGAAAUCAAGGGUUAAAGUUUGGCUCAAGAUAAGGAAGAAUCUUCUAAUAAUUAAAACUGACCAUCCAAAAGGUAA